rnacentral:tRNA from 1 species
GAGGGUAUAGCUCAGUGGUAGAGCACAUACUUAGAAUUCAUGAGAUCCUGGGUUCCAUCCCCAGUACUCCCA